rnacentral:sRNA from 1 species
UGUAAAGAUUGAUUUAGGGCAUGCCCUG